GACGGAGGGGGCAAGCGUUGUCCGGAAUCACUGGGCGUAAAGAGCGUGUAGGCGGUCGCGUGCGUCGGUGCUGAAAGCGCCCGGCUUAACCGGGCGAGGCGUGCCGAUACGAUGCGACUGGAGGCAGGCAGAGGGCGGCGGAAUUCCGGGUGUAGCGGUGAAAUGCGCAGAGCUCCGGAGGAACGCCGGUGGGGGAGCCGGGCGCCUGGGCCUGACCUGACGCUGAGACGCAACAGCGUGGGGAGCAAACCGG
rnacentral:rRNA from 1 species